GAGAACCACAGGGCCCCUCCCCAGCUCAGGGAACCUCCCCAGCUGCCCGUCGUCCAGCUGACUCCCACACCAACACCCUCACCCCUCCUGAGCACAUAAGCUGAGGACCACACAUGUCUGGCUUCCUCUGACGUCAGGACCAGCCGCUCUGGUUGGGGGGCCUAGAAGAGACCCCUGCGGCCCUGGAUCAGGAGGCCAGAGGCCCCGGCUCUUGGGGACUUUGGGACUGCACUAAAGGGCUCUUCUACCCUCUCAGCCGUCAGGCCAACGGAGACCAGAGGCUCCGUGCGGCCGUGUGACUCUGGACUGGGGCUCACCUUCCACCUCGUCCUCCCCGAGACCCGCACCGUCUCCACAUGUGCACCCGGCCGGCUCUCGGGAACCCCGCUCAACACAGCCACCGCCUGGGCCCUGCCCGUCCGGGGGCCUCGCUGGGCUCCCUCCACCACGCCUGAGGCUGCUUUUCUGCUUUCUGAUCCUGUCCUUCUCAGCUGCCCACAGCCCUCUCCCCGUCGUUCCUCGUCCCCCGUUCUCCUCCCCCCUCAUCCCUCGUAGCUGAGUCCACCUCCGUGCAGAAACAUGUCACUUAGUGAGAAAGCAUUGGCUCCAAAACAGUGUGUGCCAACAAACACUGGGGACAACGCAGACAGCCCAGGGGAGCCCGGAGCCCACAUCAGGCCCGCUCAGCCACUCCAGCCGGGCCUUCAGGCAGGCCUCCUGACCACUCUGCAUCCAGACCCGCGGGGGGCUGCCCUCUGACCAGCCAUGGCGGCCGGCGCAGGUUGGUGGGUGGUGGCCAAAGACACAGACUCCCGGGCAGAGGUGAAGGACUCCAUUCCCACGGCCUUCGCGGUUUUGAGCAUCAGAGCCAGUUCCAGCAGAGUGAGAGGAGGGUGCCGGAGCACCUGCACGGACCUCCUGGGUGCAGGACGGGGACGAGCGGCCUGCCCUCUGUGGGUGAGGCUCGGUCCCUGCCCUCUGCUGUCCACGACACGAACUCCGAGAAGACCCUCUGGUUGACGCCAUUGGUGGCUCAGCUAUGAGCCCUGGUCCCGACACUCGAGCUCAGUGUUCCUGUCAUGAAAUGGGCUUGCCGAGCACUCAGUCCUGGGCUUCCGUGAGCUCUGCAGAUCUUGCCCAGAGCGCAGAGUGCCAGCACUGACCGGAGGACGUGCCCACAGAGGAGCCCCAAGGUGAAGGGUCAGACCCAGGGCGCAGGGGCAGUUUCCCAUCCUCCAGUUGUGGGAAGAUGCCACAGAUGCCGCACACCACGCCCGGUCCUGGGCCUUGCUCCCUCAGUGCAAGUCUACUGCCCCAGACACAGGCCCGUGGCCCCACAGGACAGGAGACAUGCGGGAGGGAGAGAAGCCUAGUUCCGUGAUGGGGUCGCCGAGUGCACACCUCGGGGAGGUGGGGACCCCAUUGCCCUCCACUUCCCAGAGCCUGGGUGUCCCCAGAAGCCCUGUUGGGGGCCACAGGCCGAGAUGCCCCAGAGACAUGCGCUCACUCAGGGCCGUUCCCCAGAACCCCACAGCAGGAGCUCCCCCUCCCCGAGCUCCAGGCUCGUCCAGAGCGGAGGUGGGGGCCCGCUCACUCCCAGUGUCCCCGGCUUCGCAGAAGCACCCCAAAUGCCAGCAAGGCUGCGCUUCGACAGGAGCGUCCCACAGUCAGAAACAAGCUGCAGGGUCGGCCGCUCUGAGGAUGGGCAGGAGCCCCCAAGCCAUGUGCCUCCCAGAUGGAAGGUUCUGCUCGAGCCUCAGCCCCUAUGGUGGCACUGAGAGGAGCCCCCAGCCCCGGCCAGGGGCACUCAGAGCCCCUCAGCCCCAGGAGUCUUGGGACUCAAGCCUCCUCUCCUGGUCACCGUGUGGCGUGUGUGGCCCCUCAGGGCUCAUCCUGGAGGAAGGACGCCCGCCAAGUGGCGCCUGGUGGACAUUCUCUGAGGACCUCGGGGGCACAAGAAGUUCGUGCGGGGUCAACGGACGUCCACUUCAUGUCCAGGAGCAGCUGUGGGCGGAGAGCGGGGGCGUAAUCUAAUCUUCCCCUUCUCGCCACAACGAUCGCACGCUAAGGGCUGCUCUCUCUUAAUUAAGCUCAGCUCCCAAAUCCUUCUAACCACGCAACUUCACAAGAAACAUGUAUCUUUCCAAAUUAGCUUUGUGGCUCAGAAUAACAAGCAGCACAGUUAUAUUAAUUAGUGUACAGGAGCUCUAAGAACUCGUUUGCAGGUUGUUUUAUUUGCUCCAAAGGGAGCCGACAUUUAUUGAGGUGGAGGAUGUUCCAGCCCCACUGGGCACGUUAGGACAUCGCCCGUCAGCUCUCACUGAACUCUGCCGCGGGGGAGGCGGGACGGAGGUUGGGAGAGGGGCAGUGAGGGGACCCCCUGCAUCUGCUGCAAAGCCCACUCCACAUUCCGGAAUCACGUGAGGUUCCCUCCCCCCGCAGCUCCCAUGGUUCCUUAAAGUAACGAAUCUGUCUACACUGCAUGCUUCUUACUGAAAAAGCCAAGAGAAAAUCUUUCUCAAAGAGUGAGAUUUUCAAAUAAGGGGAAUCAGAGUCUUUGUAAAAAUCAAGCCUGUGAGACUCAUCCGGGACUUUCAAAGGGAGCUUGGCGGGGACCAGGGCUCCUGGGACAGCCGCAGGUGUACUUCCCACCCCGGCAACUCCACGUUGCACUGUGGGUGACGGAGCCGAGGCUGCCCCAGCUGAGGACCCCACAGAGGUGGCUCCUGCGGGGUUGGUUCAGAAGCUUCCUCCUGCUGCCUGCGAGUAGAGAAACUUACCCCAACCGCACUCUGGGUGUUUUCAGCUCAAAACGUACACACUAGAGUCGAAGCAGGGAAAUGUCUCUGAGGAAGAGACGCGACCCCAACACAUCAGAGGCCCACUGCCCGUCCCGCUGGUGAUCGUGGUCACCGACGACAAUCGUCUCUGCUCCAGAGAAAACUGAGCGCACUUCAAAACCCAUCAUCAGAGGACACACGGCCAGAUCCGCUUCCCCAGACCGCAGCGUUGCCAGGGUCUUCUGCGGUGCCGAAGGGGAGGGAACCAGGGGAGCCCUCGGGGGCAGUCCCGGGUCAUGGGGCUAGGUCAUGGGGGCUCCAAGGAACCACAUCUGUGAUGCCAUCAGUGCCGACCAGCAAGGGCGGCAGAAAGAAGGACUGAGGACGUGAGCAACGAGGCAGUGACUAUUCUCAUUUGGACACUGCGGGCUCCAGGGCACCAGCACCCACAGGCCUGAGGUCUGGCAUCUGCAGCCCCAGUGCAGCAGGAGUGACCCCUCUGCUGGCAGCAGACAGCCGACUCCCAGGGGGAGGUGGUGUCCCCGCGGCCCCAAGGCUGCGCCAGCAGAGUGUGCGUCCUAAACAUGGGACGCAGCCACAGGGAGCCCAGAGCCUGAGGGGAGGAAGGUGCUUGGAGAUCAGCCAGGGGACGGGGCUGGGGGCAGAUGGGUCCCAGAGAGGCCAGCAUGGGAGGGACAGCAGACAAGGAGCAGCACCCAGACCUGCGGCCCCGACAACCUUGGGGGAUACAGAGGACACACUUACAGAUGCUCUGAGAGAGGGGCAGCUGCCGUGUGGACGGUUAGUGCAGGAGACCCCGUUAAAUAUGACCCGAAGGAAAAUUUAAACGGCCUUUGGAAUAAACGACUUAUGGUGCUUCGUGUGGUUUUGGAAAUGCCAGUCGUGUCCCGAAAAGGGGGAGCUGAGCAAACAGCAGAAUCCAGGUGUCUCCCAGUGACCUGGGAUAGUGGAGUUUCUGCCCGAUGAUCUGGGAUAUCUGGGUGUCUCCUCAGUGACCUGAGACAUUGGGGUGUCUCCCUGGUGGCCUGGGGUGACAGGGUUCCCCACUCUCAUGACUGGACACUCUGUGGAGACCUCUCAG
ensembl:lncRNA